UACGUAGGGAGCGAGCGUUGUCCGGAAUCACUGGGCGUAAAGGGCGCGUAGGUGGCGCGGGAAGUCAACGGUGAAAGUUCGGGGCUCAACCCUGAAUCGGCCGUCGAUACUCCCGGGCUCGAGCACUGUAGAGGCAGAUGGAAUUCCGGGUGUAGCGGUGGAAUGCGUAGAGAUCCGGAAGAACACCGGUGGCGAAGGCGGUCUGCUGGGCAGUUGCUGACACUGAUGCGCGACAGCGUGGGGAGCAAACAGG
rnacentral:rRNA from 1 species